rnacentral:tRNA from 1 species
GCGGGGGUACCCGAGUCAGGUCAAUGCUGGUCAGAAGCGGCUAGAGGGGGCAGGCUUAAGACCUGCUGGCGUAGGCCUUCGUGGGUUCGAAUCCCACCCCCCGCA